ensembl:lncRNA
CAUACUUUUAGAAAGACUCAUCGAAAAACCGCGGUCAGGUUCAGGUUAUGCUGAACACCACACAUGUCGAAGGCUCUUCAGCAAGUUUCAUCAACUGCAAAGGAUUCAGUAACGUCAGAGAACUACAGCGAUGCUUUUCAAAGUGCAGUACCGUGGAAAGAAGAAAUAUAUCAAGCUAAAUGGAGUCUCACAUCCAGCCUUUCUUCAGGAGGCUAAAGAGAAGUUCGGCAUACGCACUGAGACAGACAUAUGUGGUGGAUGACACUGGAACAGAAGUUGACGAAGAGGUCUUCAGCGAUAUCUUGGAGGAAAAAUCAGACAUCCUGUGGACUAUUUUUGAUGUUCACUCUGUAAUGGAUACUUCCGUCCUGUCCUCGUGCACAGACACCUUGUCACUAUCAUCACGCUCAUCAGACAGUGAUGCUUCUCUGAUGUCGCCAAAAAGACAACGCAUUGAUGACACCUUUCUUAUGUCCCCAAAAAGUCAGCAUAUUGAUGAUAGUUCAUCACAAGCCAGAGAGUUUGUCAAAAGAGUUCUGGAACAAAAGCCUGGAGGUGAGAAGAUACUUAAAGAAUAUGCAGUGAGAGGAGAGAUGAAAGACCGAACACGUCGUGACCUCAUCAACAUUGUUGUUGCUCAUCUGGUGGAAAAGUAUGGGCGUGCUCCACCUAUGGACAAAAGAACACAGUGCGCACUGGGGAUAGUAACAUUGUUCCCCUCUCUAAAAGAUCCCUACUCCAAAAAAGGCUAUGAACACUUUUUUGAUGCAAACAGCAAUGAGGGCUACAUUGCCUGGAAGCUUAAAAACACACAACGAGAACUCAGAAGUGGCAGUAACUGUGAAGGUAGGAGAAGGAGCUCUCACACCUCAAACAGAAGUGGGCCGGAGUUGGAGAGAGAGGUGAAUAAAGAGCAGCAGUUGGAGGGAGACCAGUGUUGUGAGGCCAUAUCGCUACUGAAGCACAGCACAGAUGAAGAACAUAUCUUCAUGAAAAUGAGAGAAACCUUCCAUCACAGACAAAAAUUGAUCCACGAUCCUGAGCAAAGCAGCACAGUGCUUACAGUGUUCCCAAGGUUCCUUGACACAAAAGGCUUGGUGUUGCAAGACUUUGACCUGUUAUUUGGAGCUGAGACUGCAUCAAAACUCCUCGAGAAAUGGGGAACACUCAAGUCCAAAGUCAUACAGCAAGCCAAAAACCUCAGCAAGACACCCCUGCUUGACUACUUCAUCCAGUCUGCUGAGGAGAACCCUGAUGAGGAUGGCGAGGUCCCAGGUUGGGAUAGUGACAUGGCUUCACUGCUACUGCUGGUCUUCCUCUUGCCACCACCACCAAGUGGAAAGAAGGGAGCUGUGAAGAUCAGUAUCCGGGAAGCUGUGGACCAUGUAGUCAGGUUUCAAAAGUCAUGUCGCAGCCUUCAGGAGCACUCUGGUACAGAGCAGCGGAGGCAGCCCUACAUCCUAGCAGUUGGGACGACAAGAAGAAGCAUCCAUGAGUACUACAUCACAUUGGAUGGUGAGCUCCUUCCCUGCAAGGCCAAGUCUUCCCUGUCAGCCUUUGAUGAACUUUUCAAAACACAUUAUGUGUUUGGCAUCUCUUAUAGUCAGGCUUUAAGCAGCAUGUACACAUUUGUGCAGACCAGCAUAUACAACAUUGAUGUAGGUCUUUCUCACGAACCUCCUAGAGUCAAGGACCUUAGAGCUAAGCUCCUCAACUGAAGAAUUCUGAUGUAUAAAUGCUUUGUUUGCAAAUCCAUUUUUGUCACCAUUCAAAAGUUGCCCAUUAGUUUCAUUACUCUGAUGGUUCUUUUGUAUGGUAAUCCACAUUAUAUUUUUGUUGUAAUAGGAUUUUUGGACUGUUGACUUUUGAAAUAUUUUUGCUUUCAUGUCCAAUAUGGGGUCAGUUUAUUUUGAAUUCAGAAAAGAAGGAUUAUCUUCAGAGCUGAAAAAAAAAAUGAAACGAAGGCACUUUAUAUCUUAUGAUGAUUCGAAUUCUUUAUGGCUGACCUGCUAAUUGCUUUAAAUGUCUGUUAUCUGCCUUGUUAACCGACUGAUAAGCAGCAAGCAGGGAUGGGUUGGUUCAUUACAUAUCAGCAUUUAAAUAACAAACAGGUUAUAUUAUUACUGUUAAAAUCACA